UGCCAGCAGAUCUGAGGCUCUCCUUUACAGCAGCUGGGCCUGAGAUGCACCUCAAAAUCCCCCUGAUGAGUGAGCAACCAAAUUCCCUCUAUCCCAGUACAUGGAGAUUGGGGGAGCUCAGAAAUGUUUUCACUGCUGAGCACGGAGAGUUCUCUUGGAAGCAAUUUAUGCCCUGGAAUCUGCUGGGAGUUAACACACAAAAGUAACAAUGGAGGUUGGGGAGGGGGCUCCUGUCCCUCAUUGUUCCUUGAGCUGAUGCAUAAGGGAGGGGAAAUCAUUCUCUGUCUGUGCCUGCCUCAGGAGCAGGGAUGCGGGAUGAUCCAGGGUACCCAUCCCAUAGGAGGGCACCCGCAGCAAGGGGCAGAGGAAGGAGGAGAUCAUUUCUAAGGUUUGCUGCAGAUCUCCAUGUGAGCUGGACCAGAGGGGCUGGUUGGGAGCAGCACCAUCCUGUAGAAAGCAUGUGCUCCCUCCUUCCCUACUGCCAGCCCAUCGUGAGUGGCAUCACCCCACUGUUACCCCAGCCACACAGACCACAAGCAAGCCUGGCACCAGAUAGAAACCACCUGGCUCUCCUCCCAUGCACCCGCUCUCCAAGGUGGGGGGAGAGGCACAGUCACUGAAUUACAAUUCUGGUGGCUCUGUGAAAGGGCCGAGUGCUGUGUACAGUAAGAGCAGAAAACUCCAUCCAGCUGCUUCCCUGCCUUUACCAUCAGAG
rnacentral:lncRNA from 12 species